CCAAACUUGCCGGGAUUAAGGUGGAUAUGGCCCGACUGCAAUUAAGGUGGAAUUUCCAACAUUGGUCAAUAACGUACAAGUUGCUAUAAUUCAAUAUCAUUAUAUAUAUACAUACUAUUCUUUUAUUGAUGGAAAAUAUGGUCCUACUGUAAUUGUAAUCCCAUCAAAGUCCUAUCUUGAUGCAUGAUUAGGAUUAAUUUUAUUGUUGAUUCUUACUGCUUGAGAAUAUGCAACUAAUCAAAUAAAACUAUAUCACUUCAAACCCGAAAAGCUACACAAAUCCUAAGUUUGACAAUAAUAUAAUUAUACAUAAAUAACUACACAAAUGAUUCAACCGUUGAAAGUGAAGCAAUCACCAAUAAGCUCAAAUUCACAUAAGUGACAGAACCUAGCAAGUCAGACAAGCAGAAAAAUCUUUGGAAGUAAAUACCAUGUUAUUUUCUAUUCAUGCAAAUCUUGCUGAAAUUUGCAGAAAGAAUUCAAAGAUUGAUAGGGAAUCACCAAUCAAGAAAACUUUGGGGGAAAACCAUAUGAUAGUAAAUUAAUAUAUAGAUGCAGUAUUACAUCCGAAGGCUUUAGUACAAUCGCUAUCCGGUAGGAAUAAUGUUGAGGGACCAUGACAUUCUUCAUAUGAUUCAAUUGACUUAUGUCAACAUAUCUAACCAAAAAUGAAAAAUCAAAUGCUGAGAACUUAAUCAUCUUCAAUUAAUAAAGCUCUGUUAUUAUAUUUACACUGUUUCAUUCAUUUCCCUCUUCUGUGAGUUUCUGGUUCGCAACAAUUUCUUUAUAUAUUGAUUAUCUUCAGAGUCCAGGAGUUGAAUAGAUUGUAAUCAACAUCAUAAAAAAUGGAUUGAUAUCUUGUGAAGUAUAUCAUGCUCUGCUGCCCUCAUUCUUUCUUUUUUUUCUUGUUUUUUUUUUGAUAAACUGGUGUGCAGAAAACCUGCAGCACCAUAAUAAUAUUUUAAAGAAAAAAGGGGAAACAAAAGAGAGGGGACAUGAAGCCUAAACCCUCAAAGCAUUAAGAAAAUCUAUAAUUAGGAAAACCCAAUCUAUUACAAAAUAUCUCAGCUAGAAUCUGAGUAGGAGGUUCAUUCCACCAAGUGAAAGAUGAAAGAGAUACACCAAUGUUAGCAAGUUUGUCAGCACAGGAGUUGCCUUCUCUAUAGAUAUGUGUUACCAUAAAAUUCAUGCUUCAAAUCUUUAUCAUGCAAUUAAGCCACCUGUUUCUUAUCUGCCAAGGAAUGCUCAAAGUAGAGGCUAUAGCCAUCUGCACCAACUUUGACUCAGUCUCCAACCAUAAACUUUGCCAAUUUUUACUACUAGCUAUCUCUAUUGCAUUGAUAGCUCCCAUUAACUCAGCAUAGAAAUCCGUCUGAACACCGAGAUUUUCUGCAAAACAACCGAUGCAAACACCAGAGCUGUCUCUAAACAAGCCACCACAUGAAGAUUGUCCAGGGGAGCCUAAAACUGCCCCAUCAAUGUUACAUUUAAUCCAGUUCGCAAUGGGGGGGAUGCCACAAAACCACCUUAGUAACUGUAGGGAGUGGAGCAUGAGAAGUGACCUUGAAUUCUUUCAUAAUUUGAAAGUCUCUAACUGAAGUAAAGGCCACUUUCUUAUUAUUAUUUCCAGACAGGGAGACAUUUGAACAGACCAAAGAAAUAGCAGUUUGCCAAGGUACCUUUGAGUUGUUGAAUCUUCCUUGAUUUCUUGUAUACCAUAUAGAAUCAAUGACAUUGAUAAUUGCAGAUAGAAUCACAAUAUGACAUUGAGGGGACCCUCCUCUAUUGCAGAUGUUUCAAAUAUCAUUCACAGACAGAGAGAGCUGACAGUUGACAAUAGCUUGCAGCCAAUUCCAAAGCUUUAGCGCAAAGGGGCAAUCGAAAAAUAAAUGUUGAGAUCAGGUGAGAAUCUUUGCAGGUAAGCAAACCUGAUGGUGGGGUUUUCCAAAGCAGACGGUCCUCUUUUGGCUCCAUAGGAAUGAUUACUUGAGAAAGAAGUUGUCCCAAGUUGGGAAAAAGCUGAUGCACAGAAGUGGGAAUGCACCAAGAGUUGUUUGCAAUGAAAUCUUCCACCUUUGCGGUUAACAGAUUGUGAAGGUAUGCUGGGAUAUACAAAGAAUGACAGAGAGGCUGCCCACACCAUUCAUCUGUCCAAAAGUUAAUUUGAUCUCCUAAGCCCCAACAUCCAGGAAGAAUUCUCCAGAAUAUCUGAGUAAGAAUCUUUAAUGCUACUCCAAAUGGAUGAAAAUAUGUGAUGGUUGAUUGCUCUUCUUUUUCUUAUUACUCUGCUGCCCUCAUUCUAUACCAACUUGCAGCAUAAGAACAAAAAUCAUUUGAUUCAACAUCAACGACAUGUACCAAAUCUGAAAAGGUCAUUGAUGCUACAUGCUUCUAUAUUUGAGUCCAAAACAUUGUAAAGGUUUUGAGUUCAGUGCAUUUUCCUUAAGCAUAGCAUGGGAUCCCCGUUUACUUUAAUCCCACAUGCAACUUUACAGAUUUUGCUACCAAAAAUCCAUGCAGGAACAAGAACCAUGUUUAAAGUGAUGAAAGCGAUGACGAUCCCUUACAACAAUUUCACGAUCAAAUGCCUUGGAGAUUAGCUUCACUACAGUAUGACAAUCAUUACAUAUGCGCAAAUUCUUGAUUAUUCUGAUUGGAGCUGGUAGGGGAAUAGUGAUUAGUCCAAAAGCAACAGCUAGCUUCUCACUGUGGCUGAAAAGGGCAGUUUCCUUUUCUUCUUCAUCAAUGUCUAGUGAAACCUCACUUGUGAUUGGUGCAUAGCCCUCAAUCUUUAAUUUUGCAGCCACUUCAUUUAACAUAUGCUCAAUAUCCUUUAUCUGAGGGUGUGUUUUAUCUCCCGCUAAGAAUUCAUGAACUAUUCCAUUUGCCUCGAUCAUGCUACAACCAGGCAUCUUCACUACCCCAUGUUGUGCCAUAAUUCCCCUAAUUUCCAGAACAUCACCCCAAUUUCCUUUUGAAGCAUAUAUAUUUGACAAUAACACAUGGAAACCGUCAUGGUCAGGUUGAAGCUGGAUGAGUUUCCUUCCCAACCUCUCUCCCAUUUCAUUGUUAUGGUGCUUUCUACAAGCCCCAAGCAAAGCACCCCAAGUAGCCACAUCAGGGGCCAUUGGCAUACUCUCAAUAAGUUCCUCUGCUUCUUUAAGCAAACCUGCACGCCCUAAAAGAUCAACCAUGCACCCAUAAUGCUUAACGUUUGGUUCUAUCUUGUGUUCUUGGGUCAUUGAACUAAAGUAGCGGCGCCCCUCAUCUACUAGGCCCAUGUGUCGACAUGCCCCAAGAACUCCCAUAAAUGUUAUCUCGUUAGGAAGUGUUUUGGUUUUUUUCAUAUCUGCAAACACGUUAAGUGACUUUUCUACCAAACCAUUCAUUGCCAACCCAAGAAUGAGAGCAUUCCAGGUAGAAACUCCCUUUUCCUCCAUCGCAUAGAAAACCUCUAAUGCAUUUUCCACACAUCCACAUUUCAUAUACAUAUCUACAAGUGUCGUGCCCAGAAUGACAUUAACAUUGAAUUCAUUUUUACUUAUAUAUGCAUGAAUCCAUUUGCCCAAGUCCAAAGCAGCCAUAUGGGUGCAGGCUGAGAUGACACUCACUAUAGCAGUCUCAUCUGGCCUAAUUCCAAGAAGCUGCAUUUCCUGAAACAAAGCCACAGCCUCUGAGAAACAUCCAUGUUGAGCAUAACCCGAUAUCAUAGCACUCCAAGAUACAACAUCCUUCUCAACCAUGGAAUCAAACAAUUUCUUAGCAUCCUCAACAUAACCACACAUCAAGUACCCAGAAAUCAUUGAGUUCCAAGAAACCAGAUCCAACAGGACACCACCACUGAAAAUUUUCUGAGCAUCCAAUAUCUCCCCACAGUUUGAGUACAAAUGUAUCAAUGCAUUCUGAAGGCUAACAUAAUCUUGAAUCCCAAUUUUUGCUGCCAAACCAUGCACCGACCUCCCCAUCCGGACAGCCGAGAGGCUCGUACAGGCAGAGAUAGCACUAACCACAACCACCUCAUCCACCAUAACUCCAUUAGCAUUCAUAUCCACAAACAAAACCAAUGCCUCCUCACACAUCCCAUUCUGUUCAUAACAAGAAAUCAUUGCACUCCAUGACACCAUAUCCUUCCCUUCAAUCCGAUCAAAAAGACUUCGCGCCUUUGCAAUACAACCCUCUUUUCCAAAUAGCACAAUCAUGGAGUUCGAAGCAAUGGUGUUCCUCACCGGCAUCUUGUCAUACACACAUUCCGCCUCCACAACAUCUCCCAAAUUAACAUAACCAGCCAAAAGGGUAUUCCAGGAAACCAAAUCCAACACAACACUUUCCUUAAACACCUUAUGUGCACUCACCAUGUUCCCGCAAACAGCAUACAAGUUAAUCAAUGUGUUCCUAACAUAAACGUCAGAAUCAAAACCAAACUUAACAACAUGGUCAUGAAUUUGCUUUCCUUCGGGUUCCGAUACACGGGCAGUGCAAGAUCGGAGGAGAAUCGGAUACGUAUAAUGAUCAGGUGAAGUGUUUUGAAAGAGAAAGAGCUUGUAAAAGUUAAGAGCUUGUUGAGGUGAAUUGUGAAGUUCUAAGUGGGAACGCAUGAUAGUGUUCCAAAUGAAGGUGUUGGGGUUGUGAAGGUGGUUGAAAAUUUUGAGGGAAUACUGAAAAGGAAUGAAAUUGGAGUGAGUAGAGAAGUUAACGAGCCUGCUUGCGGCGUAGGUGUCUGUGAUAUAACCGGUGAGGAUCAUUUGUGACAGAAUCUGCUUGAAUUGGUUCACCCAUUGGCAUCUAUGUAACUUUGAUUCUAAGAUGGAGAGGUUUAUGGUUGGUUUUAAGGUUGUUAGGCUUCUCACAUGUUCCAACAUGACAAAUACAUUCAAAAUAUGAUUGUUGGAGUUACCUGUCCAUAUAUUAAAA
rnacentral:lncRNA from 1 species